UGCCAGCCGCCGCGGUAAUACGGAGGGUGCAAGCGUUAAUCGGAAUUACUGGGCGUAAAGCGCGCGUAGGUGGAUUAUUAAGUCAGAUGUGAAAGCCCAGGGCUUAACCUUGGAACUGCAUUUGAUACUGGUAAUCUUGAGUACAGUAGAGGGAGGUGGAAUUUCAGGUGUAGCGGUGAAAUGCGUAGAUAUCUGAAGGAACAUCAGUGGCGAAGGCGACCUUCUGGACUGAUACUGACACUGAGGUGCGAAAGCGUGGGGAGCGAACAGGAUUAGAUA
rnacentral:rRNA from 1 species